CCCUAGCGCCGCCACCCCUUCCCCUUCCUCUCUCCUAGUCACCAUGGCUAAUUUUGGCAAAGUUUCAGACGCGUAAGACUUUUUCAGGAUUUGGUACAACUAGAUCGAGCAAACAUCAAUUUUUUCGCUCCUUCUCACCUAACGCCACCUUCAAACACGGUUCUGUGGUUUGAGCAUUCGAGGAGUGACCAAAGUCUCCAAGUUCGAAUCUCAACCAAGGUUGCACAAAGAAGAGAGUUCCAGGUGGGAUCUACCUCCGCUUCUCGUGGCUGAUUGAGUUUCGAGAGCUGUUGCUUAGAGUCUUUCAGGGUGAGCUCCAGGAUGUCCGCCGCCUUGAAGAUUCUUCCUUAUUUUAUGUCUUACUUAUUAUUCCAAGACAUAUUCAGACUAUUGAUGUAUUAUUGAUAUUUCCAGACUCGUAAAUUUUAGCUAGUUGCUUUUGUAUGACUAGACAAAUUUCUGGGGUGGUUUUGAUGUAUUCCGCAUAUUCUAUCUAUC